GACGAACGCUGGCGGCGUGCUUAACACAUGCAAGUCGAACGCAGUGGAGAAGGGGUGAGUAACGCGUUAUCACCCUGGUAUUCAGCGGGGGACAACAGUUGGAAACGACUGCUAAUACCGCAUACGGAGGGUGGGGCUUGCGUCUGAUUGGCUGGUGGGAGGGGUAACGGCCCACCAAGGCGAUGAUCAAUAGCCGGUCUGAGAGGAUGAACGGCCACACUGGGACUGAGACACGGCCCAGACUCCUACGGGAGGCAGCAGUGGGGAAUCUUCGGCAAUGGACGAAAGUCUGACGGAGCAACGCCGCGUGAGUGAGGACGGCCUUCGGGUUGUAAAGCUCUGUUAUUCGGGACGCGUUACCGAAUAGAAAGCCACGGCUAACUACGUGCCAGCAGCCGCGGUAAUUC
rnacentral:rRNA from 1 species